GCUUUCUCCUUCCUCUUUCUACUUCCUCCUUCUCCUUCUUCCUUCUCCAUCUUCUGUUUCGUUCUCUUUCUCGUUUCUCAUUCCAUAAAGCAUUUCAUCCUUAAAUUAGGUUUUCAAUAUGCGAUUCAGAAAUCUGUUUCUUCCGCUCUCAGAUCUAAACAAGUUUUAGUACCAGUUUCCAAUUCCAAUUUUGAUUUCGACUUUGAUUCUUGAUUUGAUGAUUUUAUAAUUUUGGUUUCGACUUUGACUCUCAAAGCUUCUCCCAUCAACACUCAAAGCUUCUUCACAGGUAUAUAACAUGUCCUUUUCAAUUUUAUAAUUUUGUUUCAAAUUUUAGGAAAUAUGAUUCUUUC
rnacentral:lncRNA from 1 species